rnacentral:rRNA from 1 species
UACGAAGGGGGCGAGCGUUGUUCGGAUUUACUGGGCGUAAAGGGCGCGCAGGCGGUCUUGUAAGUCAGGUGUGAAAGCCCCGGGCUUAACCUGAGAAUUGCGCUUGAUACUCUGAGACUGGAGUACGGGAGAGGAGAGUGGAAUUCCCAGUGUAGAGGUGAAAUUCGUAGAUAUUGGGAAGAACACCAGUGGCGAAGGCGGCUCGCUGGACCGUAACUGACGCUGAGGCGCGAAAGCGUGGGGAGCAAACAGG